CAGAUUUUGGGUGGAUUUUGAGCACACCUGACCAGAUUUUGGGUGGAUUUUGGUAAAUUUUGCAUGGAUUUGGGUGGAUUUUGGCAGAUUUUGGGUGGAUUUGAGCACACCUGACUGAAUUUUGGGUGGAUUUGAGCAGACCUGCCCACAUUUCUGAUUUAACCACACCUGCCCACAUUUUCAGCCAAUUUAACCAGAUUUUGCUCCAAUUUAACCACAAUUUGUUCCAAUUUAUCCACAUUUUGAGCCAAUUUCACCAUUUUGCUCCAAUUUAACCACACUUUGCUCCGAUUUAACCACAUUUUUAUCCAAUUUAACCACAUUUUUACCGAUUUACCCCCAUUUUGCACCCAUUUACCCACAUUUUGUGCCGAUUUAACCACACUUUGAUCAGAUUUAACCACAUUUUCCACCCAUUUACCCACAUUUUGUGGCGAUUUAACCACACUUUUCACCAAUUUACCCCCAUUUUCCACCCAUUUACCCACAUUUUGUGAUGGUUUAACCACAUUUUGAUGAGAUUUACCCCCAUUUUCCACCCAUUUACCCCCAUUUUCCACCCAUUUACCCCCAUUUUCCACCCAUUUACCCCCAUUUUCCACCCAUUUACCCAAUUUUCCACCCAUUUACCCCAUUUUCCACCGAUUCAACCACCCUUUGAUCAGAUUUAACCACAUUUUCCACCAAUUUACCCCCAUUUUCCACCCAUUU
rnacentral:lncRNA from 1 species